CUGUUUACAGCUCUAAUGGAAAGGAGAGUUUUCAGUCAUAUCAUGACUACAGCACAAAGCACAAUACAGGUGUUAUGACCAUCUCCUUGCAGCGCUGGAAGUGGUGAUCAGUGGGAGGCCCUCAAGAUAGAACCCAUAUAUGAGAAACCUCUGAAUAGCUCCUGGUCAAUUUCGAUUUCCCACCAAUCCAUUUCUGCUUCCAUCCUCUUGAUGUCAUACGUCCGGGAGCUGUGUGUUAUGGUGGGCUACAGGGAGAAGAAACAAAUGAUCAUCCUUGUACUGAAACCAGAUUGUAAAUUCACAUAAACUAAAGGAAGUGAAAGAACAGUGUAUGUAUCUAUGGAUCCUCUGCUACCACAGACUAGUGCACAGUGGUUCAGCUGUAUUGUAAUAGUGACACGUCUUCAGCUGUUGCAGUGUAAUGAGCCAUGAGAUACAACUGAGUAAGAAUAAAAGUAUAGAGAAGCAGACAUAAAUGGAAAUACCUAUUUACCAAGUUACCAGACACUUGUUGUUCUUGUAUUGUGUGAUAUUAAUAAUUGACCCUAAUUUUUUUCUAUUGCAUUAACUGGGCAAACCAACUUUUUCAUAUACUUACUGGAGCAGGGAUGUGUGGUGGUGGUGGUGUUACUCUCAGGGCUUCCAGCGAGACCCAAAUCAAUAUGCUGGAAUAAUGGAUGCUGGCGGAUGUUGCCGUUGACUCCUAACCGCCUGGAGGGAUCACUACGCAGGAGCUGGAAUAAAACAGAAGAAGAAAUACGUUUCUCUGUUAUCAUCAUUGCAGCACUGAGGUGUUAUGACCAUCUCCUUGCAGCGCUGGAAGUGGUGAUCAGUGGGAGGCCCUCAAGAUAGAACCCAUAUAUGAGAAACCUCUGAAUAGCUCCUGGUCAAUUUCGAUUUCCCACCAAUCCAUUUCUGCUUCCAUCCUCUUGAUGUCAUACGUCCGGGAGCUGUGUGUUAUGGUGGGCUACAGGGAGAAGAAACAAAUGAUCAUCCUUGUACUGAAACCUGAUUGUAAAUUCUAUGGAUCCUCUGCUACCACAGACUAGUGUACAGUGGUUCAGCUGUAUUGUAAUAGUGACACGUCUUCAGCUGUUGCAGUGUAAUGAGCCAUGAGAUACAACUCAGUAAGAAUAAAAGUAUAGAGAAGUAGACAUAAAUGGAAAUACCUAUUUACCAAGUUACCAGACACUUAUUGUUCUUGUAUUGUGUGAUAUUUGUCAGGUCCGGAUGUUUUUGUGAAUCCGUUAACCCGGGACCAACCACAGGUGUAGGUGCUGGGCUAUGAAGAAAGCAGGGAGGAUGAAAAAAGUUCCGCUUCAUAUAUUUAUUCAAAAUAACAAUUCAGUAAAGAGUUAACUGACAAGUUGUUAAUCAUCAUAUUAUACUGAAGUAUUGCAGGAAUAAUAUGCAAGAGCAAACUCAAAAAUAAAUAAAAGAAAUGUUCAUGGAAACAUAUGCAAAACAAGCUGAUGAAUAAAUGUUAGAUUGUCCAAAUAUAAACAAGCUUAGAUGCUGAACUGCAGAAUGUGAUUAACUGGAUAAUGCAGACAUGAAGAGAUAACUGUAAGGAUUUGCAAUGGAGUUUUGAGAGUUAACUGAGAG